AUUGAACGCUGGCGGCAUGCCUUACACAUGCAAGUCGAGCGCGAAAGGGGGCAACCCCGAGUAGAGCGGCGGACGGGUGAGUAACACAUCGGAACGUGCCCAGUAGUGGGGGACAACCUCGAGAAAUCGAGGCUAAUACCGCAUACGACCCACGGGUGAAAGCGGGGACCGCAAGGCCUCGCGCUAUUGGAGCGGCCGAUGUCCGAUUAGCUAGUUGGCGGGGUAAGAGCCCACCAAGGCGACGAUCGGUAGCUGGUCUGAGAGGACGACCAGCCACACUGGGACUGAGACACGGCUCAGACUCCUACGGGAGGCAGCAGUGGGGAAUUUUGGACAAUGGGGGCAACCCUGAUCCAGCCAUG
rnacentral:rRNA from 1 species